AACCUGCUCCGCGAGCGUGGUUACGGGAAGCCGGUGCGAAUCCGGCGCGGUCCCGCCACUGUGACCGGGAAGUCGUCCCGCAGAGCAACAGCCACUGGGCGCGUGCGCCUGGGAAGGCGCGGCGACGGCGGUGAUCCGGGAGCCAGGAGACCGGCCACGCGACUGACACGCGU
rnacentral:ncRNA from 2 species